GCUUUCAACAUCCCCGUCCGCUGUCUUCUCAUUAGAAGUCAGGCAGGACUGAAGGC
rnacentral:sRNA from 12 species